rnacentral:misc_RNA from 1 species
GUGAAUUGAAAAGUGGGCUAAUCCCCCGCUUUUUCAUUUACACACUGUGAACGGAAUCGGCUGGGUUAAUCCCGGUCGAGAGCUUCGGCUCGAAUUCCUUUUUGAAACUCCAAGUUGUAGGAUGUUCUUGGCUUUGCCAAUUACAAACAAAGAA